rnacentral:rRNA from 1 species
CCUACGGGUGGCAGCAGUGAGGAAUAUUGGGCAAUGGGGGCAACCCUGACCCAGCCAUGCCGCGUGAGUGAAGAAGGUCUUCGGAUUGUAAAGCUCUUUCGGACGUGACGAUGAUGACGGUAGCGUCUAAAGAAGCACCGGCAAACUUCGUGCCAGCAGCCGCGGUAAUACGAAGGGUGCGAGCGUUGUUCGGAAUUACUGGGCGUAAAGGGAGUGUAGGCGGAUAUGUAAGAUAGCGGUGAAAUGCCGGGGCUCAACCCCGGAACUGCCAUUAUGACUAUGUAUCUUGAGUACUGGAGAGGCAGGCGGAAUUCCUAGUGUAGCGGUGAAAUGCGUAGAUAUUAGGAGGAACACCAGUGGCGAAGGCGGCCUGCUGGACAGAAACUGACGUUGAGGCUCGAAAGCGUGGGGAGCAAACAGGAUUAGAUACCCCAGUAGUC